GUAAGGAAUAUUGGUCAAUGGACGAAAGUCUGAACCAGCCAUGCCGCGUGGAGGAUGAAGGUCCUCUGGAUUGUAAACUUCUUUUAUAUGGGACGAAAAAAGGCUUUUCUAAGUCGUCUGACGGUACCAUAUGAAUAAGCACCGGCUAACUCCGUGCCAGCAGCCGCGGUAAUACGGAGGGUGCAAGCGUUAUCCGGAUUCACUGGGUUUAAAGGGUGCGUAGGUGGAUUGCCAAGUCCGUGGUGAAAUCUUCGAGCUUAACUCGGAAACUGCCAUGGAUACUGGUGAUCUUGAAUAUCGUGGAGGUUAGCGGAAUAUGUCAUGUAGCGGUGAAAUGCUUAGAUAUGACAUAGAACACCAAUUGCGAAGGCAGCUGGCUACGCGAAUAUUGACACUCAGGCACGAAAGCGUGGGGAUCAAACAGGAUUAGAAACCCUGGUAGUCC
rnacentral:rRNA from 1 species